GUCGGUGCCCAUGUACAUGGAUGAAGGUAGUAAGCAAAUGCCAAGCUGGACUGCCUGUGUAUCCUUGGGGUCAGAUUAUUCCUGGUCGAAGUCGAUGGCUUCAAGGUGAGAAAGUGAAUAGAAAUUCCUUCUCCUUAUAGAUAUUUGCAUCCUCGGGUAAUUUUUCUAAGAAGCGACCGAUCGGCUCAUGGAUAAUUAUUGUAUUUUUUAUUUAAGUCAAGUCUUUUUACUUGCUUCUAUAGGUUCAUAGUGAGCAUAUCCAAGAUAUGCAUCAUUUAUCCAUUUGUUUUCUUUUAAGGUUCUGAUGCAGUUACUUGGAAAAAAAAUCAAAAUCUGUAUCCACAAUGUUCCGGACAUUAAGGUGAACAUGUACAAAGCAUUUUUCUGAAUUUGUAUGUGUAGAAGCGUUUCUCAUCAAGUUCCCUCGGUGUAAGGUGUUCAUAUUUAUUUAUACCACAACUCUAUUGUAGUAGCUAUACAUGUCAAUAUUUUGAGCCUACUUAUGGAGACUACCUUCUAUAUGUGGUACAAGUUAAUUCAAUCCAGCUCAGCCAUCGUAGGCAUUCUGGCAGGUGUGUUGUUCGGAGGAGGGACCAGACAUCCUAAACAGGAGAUGAGAGUGAAAUACUUCGAUAUUUAUCACAUUAUUUUUCAGCUGAUCACUAAUUUCCGGGACCGAGUUUCAAGCUUUGCAUUGAUCUCUAUUUGGUUUUGCUGCACUUAUGUCAUCUACAAUUUGCAGAUAUUCUCACAAUUUUUUGUGUUAUGAUUAGGAGUUGGGUCUUGGGAAGCAUACAGGUGUCCUGAAGCAAGCAUUGUGCACAGGCCGUUCAGUGUACCACACUACUAUUUUGCUUGCAUGUUCAUACGAGUACUGAUGAAUGAAAUAUAGCUUCAAGAGUGCCUCUUCUAUAAACAGAAUAUCAAAUUGGUUGUUUAAUGUGCUACUAUGUAAUUAGAAAGUUAAUCAUAUGUUAGCUAAAUGUUUGCAUUGUAAAGUGUACUUACCUUUUCUUCUUUUGACAAUGGGCUGCAAACAUUUCCAAUUUUGAUGUCUUUCUACUUUGGGAAUUUUCCUCAUCAAAUGCACUCUAUUUU
rnacentral:lncRNA from 1 species